AGCGAACGCUGGCGGCAGGCCUAACACAUGCAAGUCGAACGAAGCCUUCGGGCUUAGUGGCGGACGGGUGAGUAACACGUGGGAACGUACCUUUUGGUUCGGAACAACUCAGGGAAACUUGAGCUAAUACCGAAUACGUGCGAGAGCAGAAAGAUUUAUCGCCGAAGGAUCGGCCCGCGUCCGAUUAGCUAGUUGGUGAGGUAAUGGCUCACCAAGGCGACGAUCGGUAGCUGGUCUGAGAGGAUGAUCAGCCACACUGGGACUGAGACACGGCCCAGACUCCUACGGGAGGCAGCAGUGGGGAAUAUUGGACAAUGGGCGCAAGCCUGAUCCAGCCAUGCCGCGUGAGUGAUGAAGGCCCUAGGGUUGUAAAGCUCUUUCGCCAGGAACGAUAAUGACGGUACCUGGAUAAGAAGCCCCGGCUAACUUCGUGCCAGCCGCCGCAGUAACAC
rnacentral:rRNA from 1 species